rfam:Cavia porcellus supercont2_7 genomic scaffold, whole genome shotgun sequence.
GGGGAUUUAGCUCAGCGGCAUAAGCGCCUGCCUUGCAAGCAGGAGUCGUGAGUUCGAUCCCUG